rnacentral:lncRNA from 1 species
UUUGUAAUUGUCAAUUUUCUGGUUAUAGAAAAAUACAAACAGAUCGUGUAUAUAGAAUUACACUUCUUCUCACUUAUUUGUUCUGUACAUAUCCUGAUAUAUAUAUAGUAUUACAUUAACAGCUUCUAACAUAUAUAUUGGUGUAGCUGGUAACAGCUGUUGAUUUUGAAUGCAUAGAAUCAUAUCUUCAAAUCAUUUGAUUUUCAAUGCAUAGAAUCAUAUCUUCAAAUCAUUUAUCUGCUGCUGCUUUCACAGAGGAUAAGUUGUUGCUGCUGUAAUCACGGGUGUAUCAGAUUCCUGUUCUUCAUAGGAUUGUUUGGAGUGAUCCUUUACAGUCUCUGUCACUGCAUUCACGGGUGGAUCAGUAUGUUCACCCUUGAAUUCAGUAACCAUUACUUGAUCUUCUACACUGGUAGUGUUAUAUUAUACUCUUUAAAAGUUAUAAAGAAGAAAGUUUGUGAAAUAAUAAAAGAUUUUUAAAAAUUUGAAACUGAAAAUGAACUAAAUUGAAUUUUUUAAGAAAAUAAUUAUCUAAAAUUAUCCAAAAAUAAUUGGAAAACCAUUUCAACUCAUCUUUUAUAAUUCAGGUAAUUUACUCACAUCUAGAAAAAAAAUUAGUCAAAAUGGUGGAUUCGAUUGAUUUUUUAAAAAUGAAGAAAUGACACAUCGAAUUUCGAAUAAGUGGUAGAAAAUGUUUUGAAGAUAUUGAAGAGUCACACCUCUUGAUCUUGAAAGUGGUAGUGGGAUUAUUAACAAGGAAUGCAUUUGGUUAAUAAUCUAUUGUAAAUAAAUGUGUUUAAAAGACCAAAACGAUUACACUUCAUUUAUUUUCUCUUUCUAAUUUAUUUAUGGUUAUUCCAUUUUUCUACGGUUUGUACAUCACUCAUACCUUUUUUAUAGGGCAAAGCUUUAACUUAUAAGAUUUAACUAGUUAUAUCAUGAGCAUCAUAAAAAAUUUUCAUGUAAAAGUAUUAAUAAUAUUGUUAUCCUAUUAAAUGUGUAGAAUUAUACAUAAAUUAUAUUGCUAUAAAUAUGUGUUGAGAAUAUUAUAAUCUAAGUCCAUGGAUUCACAGGGCUUUCUCUAUAAUGAGAGUUAUUUGUUUUACCCUUAAUAUAUAUUACCAUGAAACUUAACAUAUUUGAAACAAAAAUUACAAUUUUGUUUUCACUUUAUUUUAUAUGAAGUAUUAAGAUUUUAUUUAACAUGCAAACAUAGCACAUAUGAUGGAUCAUCAAAUAAAUAUUUAGUUCCCAUAUUGACUUAGUACUUCUAGUUACUUCUAUUCUUGCAUAGCAAGACAAAAACUUUAGCAAAGAAAUCUCGACAAAGGUAUCAUCAUUUGACAAUUUGUUUUUAAUUUUUGAGAGAAAAAAACAAGAAUUUAUAUAUAUAUAUAUAUUAGGUUCUCAAGAGUUGCUAUGAUAUUGACAAAUGCACAUGUAAAAAGGCCAUUGCAAAUUUAAGAAAAUUUGGCUUAGCAUGGCUUAUGAAAACUAUCUUUAACUUUUAAUCAAAGUUAUUUUUUAUAAAUAACUUAUAAAAGAAAUAAGUUAAAUUUUAAAUUGGAAGAAUUUUUAAUAAAAAUAAUUUAAUUUUUUUAAAAAGUAUAAGUAAGAAUUCAUAAGUUAAAAAUUUUAACUUGCUUUCAUAACAAAUUUUUAUUUAAAUUAAAAUUCAUUUCUAACUAAAUAUAUUUAUGAUUUUUUUCAUGAAUCAAAAGUAAAAAAAAAAAAAAAAAAAGGACGGGAUUUUAGUGUAUAUCUCCUCACAAAACACUAUUUACUUGAAUAAUAUUUUUUUUUUCCAUUUCUUUGUUUUUUCCCCAUCUAUGUUUUUCUUCUUUCUAUUUUGUCAAAUUUCAAUUCAAUCCAGUAAUAUUAGAUUUAUUUGGGAUUGAGUUUUAUAAUUUUUUCAAUUUAUUUUUUAUGAGGUUAUGUCAGUCUCAUAACCCGGACCACGAGUUUGACUCGGUUUACUUGAGUUUUUCUUCCUUUUCCUGAUUGUUUUUUCAAUUUUAUCCUUCAAUAUUGAGUUGAUUCGGAAUUAGGCUUCUUGAUUUGUUUUAGUUUGAAUUCAAUGAGACUAUCCUCAUCUCAUGACUCAGGUCACGAGUUUGGUGGGUUAACUUGGGCUGACUCGAGUUAUUCUUUUGUCUUUUUAACAUAAUUCUUAAUUUUAAUUUCAUCAUUUAACAUUAAGUUUAUUGGGGACUGAACUUCAUAAUUUCUUUAAAUAUACGUUUUAUGAGGUCAUCCCAGUUUCUUGACCCAAACCGCGGGUUUGACGAGUUAACUUGGUUGACUCAGGUUUUUUCACAUUUCUAAUUGACAUUUUUUUUUCUCGAUUUCAUUCUUCAACAUUGGGUUAAUUGAGAAUUAGGCUUCGUGAUUUUUUUUGGUUUAUUUUCUUUGAAGUUAUCAUCAUCUCAUGACUCAAGUUACUUAUUUGGUGAGUCAAACCGGGUUGACUUGAGUUUUUUUUCUCUAUUUUUUAAUCAUUUUUUUCCAAUUUCAUCUUUAAAUACUAGGUUGAUUGAGAAUUGAACUUCAUAAUUAAAUAUAUUUAUGAUUUUUUUCAUGAAUUAAGAAUUAACAAAAAAAAGAGGAGAUUUUACUAUAUGAUCCUCACAAAACACUAUUUAGUUGAAUAGUAUUUUCUUGUCCCUUUCUUUGGUUUUUUUCCCGUCUAUGUAUUUCUUCUAUUUUUUUUUUCAAAUUUAUAUUCCAUCCUGUAAUAUUAUAUUUAUUUAGGAUUGAGCUUCAUAUUUGUGUUCAAUUUAAUUUUUAUGAGGUUAUGUCAGUCUCAUGACCCGGACCACGAGUUUGACUCGGUUUACUCGAGUUUUUCUUUACUUUUUUUUAUAUUUUUUUAUCAAUUCUAUCCUUCAAUAUUGAGUUGAUUCAGAAUUAGGCUUCUUGAUUUGUUUUGGUUUGAAUUCAAUGACAUUAUCCUCAUCUCAUGACUCGGGUCACGAGUUUGGUGGGUUAACUUGAGUUGACUCGAGUUAUUUUUUUGUAUCUUUUUUUAAUAGAAUUCUUAAUUUUAAUUUCAUCAUUCAACAUUAUGUUUAUUGGGGACUGAACUUUAUAAUUUCUUUCAAUAUAUUUUUAUGAGGUCAUCCCAGUUUCUUGAUCCGAACUACAAGUUUAAAGAGUUAACUCGGUUGAUUCAGGUUUUUUCACUUUUCUAAUUGUUUUUUUCCUCUCGAUUUCAUUCUUCAACAAUGGGUGAAUUGGGAUUUAGGUUUCGUGAUUUGUUUUUUAUGAGGUUAUCCUCAUCUUAUGACUUAGGUUACUGGUUUGGCGGAUCAAACCGGGUUGACUAAAGUUUUUUUUCCUGUUUUGUAAUUAUUUUUUUUCAAUUUCAUCUUUAAAUAUUAGGUUGAUUAAGAAUUAAACUUCAUAAUUUAUUUCAAUUUUCUUUCUAUUAGGUUAUCCCGGUCUAAUGAUCUAGGUCGCGAGUUUGGCAGGUUAACCCGAGUUGACUAAGAUUAUUUUUUAUUCUAUUUUAAUUGAUUUUUUUUCAAUUUGAUCGUUCAAUAUUGAGUUUGUUGGAAAUUAGAUUUCAUAAUUUGUUUUGAUUUAUUUUUCACGAGAUUAUCAUGUAUCAUGACUUGGCAUAUGGAUUAGCUGAAUAACCCGACUUGACGCGAAUCGAUCUAAUAUUUUGUUGUCUUAAUAUUUAUAUAAAAAAAUCUCAUCUUGAAUAUUUAUUAUGAGACAAACCAUAUUUUUACUAGUUAUUUAUGUUGCUUUUGAACUUGUUAAAUCAAUAAAAUCAUAUCAAAUCCAUCCUCAUAUAUUUUAAAAUUAUUUUUUACUAUAAAAACACAUUAAUAAUACCUAAAUAUAUUAAAAACAACUUGCAAUAUAACACGUGAGAAAAUAAUUUUAUCAUUAUUGUAUUUUAUUACAUGAUAUGUUAGGUGGCUACAAGUCGAGGGAAGACAAUACAUGUUAGCUUUUGUCCUGUAUGUUCUUCCCUUGGUAUCAUUUAAAGUUUGGCACAUAGAUUUUUUCCACCCUGACCCAGAGUCGACUUGGACUUGUAUCCUUCUUCUAGGUUGGAAGAAGUACUUUUUGGUCACAAAACUUCAAUGUGAAAAUAGGAAUAAUGGCUAUGAAUGUAUUAUAUUAUAGUGUCGAGUAAUUUUAAAAGUAUUUUCUCUCACCCGUGAACAAUACGGAAGGAAUUAAAAUGCUCCCACUUGCAUAUUUGAAUAUAAGAAUUAUUAAUUUAAGAUUGGAGAAAGAGAUUUAUGUGCCUAUAAUAACAUGAUUCAGCCAAUGCAGAAUAGACAUGAUAGCCUUUUGAUUGUUCUUGAUUUGUUGAUUUUAAUCAAGAAAAGUGACAAUGGCAGCAUGAAUUUCCCACCUUGCAGUAGCAUUGUCAGCUUUAUUCCAUUUAAAAUUUUUCUUGUUGUUGAGAUUUAUAUAACAAAAUUUUUCUUAAUAAGUAAAUAAACUGAUCGAUUCAAUAUAAUAAAAAGAUAUUUAAGUUAAUAUUAACCUUAAACCUUCCGAACCAUGCAUUAAUCAUAGAUUUUCAUUCAGAAUGUUUGGAAACCUAACUCCAUUAAAACAAUAUAAUUUCCAUUGAAGAUUUCAUUGUUGAUGUUAUAGUUCUGAGAGCCUCAAUAUUUGUAAACCUAAAAUUGCAUUCAUUAAUUGUUUGUUAACACCAACAAAUCAAUUAGCUAACCAUAUUAAUAAGAAAAAAUUAGAAAUAAUUUAAAAAAUGCCAAAAAUAUAUAUACAAUCAUUAAAGAACAUAAAAAUUAAAAAUUUCCAAUAACAUUUAUACAAUUAUUAAUAACAAAAGAAUAAAAAAAAUAAAAAACAAUUUCCAUCAACAUUUAUGCAAUUAUUUAUAGCAAAAAACUUUAAAAAUUUUAAAAAAUUGCCAUCAACAUUUAUACAAUUAUUUAUAAUAGAAAGUUUUUUUUAAAAAAUCCACUAACAUUUACACAAUUAUUGAUAAUGAAAAAAAUAAAAAAAACUUCCCAACAAAAUUUAUACAAUUAUUAAUAACAAAAAAUGAAAAACAAAACACGAAAAGAGAAGGAAAAGGAAGAAUCUUACCUUAAUGUUGAAUUUUCCCGAGCCUAAAAGAGAAAACAAUUUGAACAAAUCAUUAAAUAAAUAGAGAAGAAGAGAAGGAGAAAAUAUAUCUACGCGCGGAGAAGAAGAGAGGAGAAGAUAAUGGGUUGAGGAUAGAAAGAGAGAGAGAAGAAAGAGAAAGAUGAAGAUUUGGGAGGAGGAGAAAAGAAGUUGCAAAGGAAGAGAGAAGAAGAGAAUUGUGCCCAUCUGUUCUGAAUUUAG